GUGAGACUCCAUCUCAAAAAAAAAAAAAAAAAAAGAGGAAAGAGAGAGUAGGAUGGCUGAACCAUGAUGCAGUAGCAAUGCUUCUUAUUUGAGCACCUUGCUAGACUAUGUGUGCUGCAGACUGUGUUCAUGAUUCCGAAUCCUAAAUACAACUCUCCUAGGCUUGUCUCUCAGCCUAGACUCUAGACUGUUUGGCUCAUUUGGUUGUCUUGGAGAUGUUCUAAUGCUGAAGGGGGCAGUAGUCCCUUCUACAAGAUAGCUGGUCUCCAAAUGCACACCUCUGCUUAGUCUGAAUCCUAAAGUUAUAGCUUGAGCCAAUUAAAGUGGGUUCUCAUUUUUCUCUCACUCUGAUCUCAAGGAGCCCUUUUUCCUCUAGUAAUCUAGACCUUCCUCUUCCUUUCACAAUCUCAAGGAUUGUGCCCCCAAAGCAGAUGCAAAGCUCUGUCUACCCCUUCUCCUUCCCCUGAGGUAGAGCUUUAUCGAAGGUUUCUCUUGGUAAACGUUAGCUUUCUGAACUGUGGGCUGUCUUUUUAUUUUUUCCCUCUUAAGCCCAUUGCAUAACAAUCUCUUGUUGUAAUCUUUUGCCGAACACUGCUUUUCUUACUGUCAGAGGUUACUACAAGGGUUUGAACAGGUAACUUCUACCUUUGAACUUCUAUUGCGACAGAUUCAAAGGUUCCAGGGGAGUGCGUUGGCCACUCUCAGGACAGUACACAGUAGCUUCGGGUGUGUCCCAGUCAGUCCCAGGAGCUGUGGAAAGAGUAGAAGUGCCUGAAGGUGGUGCUGAAUCAGUACAGCCAGCUGUGAGGGGAGCACUUCCUCGACCCAGGAAGGAAGAGUCUUCUCCCAAGGUCUGAAUUUCCUGCUGCUAUUCACAAAGAUGCUUUUUAUCUUUAACUUUUUGUUUUCCCCACUUCCAACCCCGGCAUUGAUCUGCAUCCUGACAUUUGGAGCUGCCAUCUUCCUGUGGCUGAUCACCAGACCUCAACCCGUCUUACCUCUUCUUGACCUGAACAAUCAGUCUGUGGGAAUUGAGGGAGGAGCGCGGAAGGGUAUUUCCCAGAAGAACAAUGACCUAAUAAGUCACUGCUUCUCAGAUGCCACGACUAUGUAUGAGGUUUUCCAAAGAGGACUCGCUGUAUCUGGAGCUCUAUUCUAAGGAAAUGUUCUAAAUUUAAAAGGAUCAAUUUGAAAAUACUUAGCAUAAUUUAAGGCGUCAAACUUGAAAACAAUCUAAAUACCCAUGAUGAAAUAAAGUCAACUACAGUAGAACCCUUCAUUGACUGGCCAUUGAAACCACUACAGAGAAGAAAUAAUGACAUGAAAAUACUUACGUCAGAUUGGGAGAGGAAGCAAGGUAUCAAAGUAUUAUAUUCAUUCUAUACAUGGGGAAUGAACAUAACUGUAAAACUAUGCAAAAGGGCCAUAGAAUAAUAUAUCAGUGUUAAUAAUGGUAUUUGGGUGAUGAGAUUGAUGACUCAUAUUUUAUUUUUUUAUAUUUUUAUGAGCAUAGUUUUUAUUGUAGGGAAAUUCAAUCCGAGAUUGUUCAAUACAGGCUGUUUGUGUUUACUUGUAGGCUUUUACUUGGUCAUGUUUUGUGGGCUAACCCCAUAUGGAUGGUUUUCUCUGAAUAUCUACAUUAUCAUGCAGGUUACAUAUUCAACACUGAACCGCUCCUGUUUUAUGUAGCAUUUCCUAAAUGUUUCAAGUAUAAUUUAUAG
rnacentral:lncRNA from 1 species